rnacentral:rRNA from 1 species
CCUACGGGAGGCUGCAGUGGGGAAUAUUGGACAAUGGGGGGAACCCUGAUCCAGCCAUGCCGCGUGUGUGAAGAAGGCCCUCGGGUUGUAAAGCACUUUCAGUGAGGAAGAACGCCUGGUGGUUAAUACCCAUCAGGAAAGACAUCACUCACAGAAGAAGCACCGGCUAACUCCGUGCCAGCAGCCGCGGUAAUACGGAGGGUGCGAGCGUUAAUCGGAAUUACUGGGCGUAAAGCGCGCGUAGGUGGCUUGAUAAGCCGGUUGUGAAAGCCCCGGGCUCAACCUGGGAACGGCAUCCGGAACUGUCAAGCUAGAGUGCAGGAGAGGAAGGUAGAAUUCCCGGUGUAGCGGUGAAAUGCGUAGAGAUCGGGAUGAAUACCAGUGGCGAAGGCGGCCUUCUGGACUGACACUGACACUGAGGUGCGAAAGCGUGGGUAGCAAACAGGAUUAGAUACCCCUGUAGUC